GGAAUCUUCCACAAUGGGCGAAAGCCUGAUGGAGCAACGCCGCGUGUGUGAUGAAGGGUUUCGGCUCGUAAAACACUGUUGUAAGAGAAGAAUGACAUUGAGAGUAACUGUUCAAUGUGUGACGGUAUCUUACCAGAAAGGAACGGCUAAAUACGUGCCAU
rnacentral:rRNA from 1 species